CACGUAGGGUGCGAGCGUUGUCCGGAAUUAUUGGGCGUAAAGAGUUCGUAGGCGGUGUGUCGCGUCGGCCGUGAAAACCUGCAGCUUAACUGUGGGCUUGCGGUCGAUACGGGCAUCACUGGAGUUCGGCAGGGGAGACUGGAAUUCCUGGUGUAGCGGUGAAAUGCGCAGAUAUCAGGAGGAACACCGGUGGCGAAGGCGGGUCUCUGGGCCGAUGACUGACGCUGAGGAGCGAAAGCGUGGGGAGCGAACAGG
rnacentral:rRNA from 1 species